AGGAUGAACGCUGGCGGUCUGCUUAACACAUGCAAGUCGAACGGAGUAGCAAUACUUAGUGGCGGACGGGUGAGUAACGCGUGAGAAUCUACCUUCAGGACGGAGACAACAAUUGGAAACGACUGCUAACCCCCGAUGUACCGAAAGGGCAAAUAUUUAUAGCCUGAAGAAGAGCUCGCGUCCGAUUAGCUAGUUGGAGAGGUAAAAGCUCACCAAGGCGACGAUCGGUAGCUGGUCUGAGAGGACGAUCAGCCACACUGGGACUGAGACACGGCCCAGACUCCUACGGGAGGCAGCAGUGGGGAAUUUUCCGCAAUGGGCGAAAGCCUGACGGAGCAAGACCGCGUGGGGGAAGAAGGCUCUUGGGUUGUAAACCCCUUUUCUCUGGGAAGAACGCAAUGACGGUACCAGAGGAAUCAGCAUCGGCUAACUCCGUGCCAGCAGCCGC
rnacentral:rRNA from 1 species